GGAUUAGAUACCCUGGUAGUCCACGCUGUAAACGAUGAUCACUAGGUGUUCGGACUUCGGUCUGAGUGCCCAAGCGAAAGCGAUAAGUGAUCCACCUGGGGAGUACGUUCGCAAGAAUGAAACUCAAAGGAAUUGACGGGGGCCCGCACAAGCGGUGGAGCAUGUGGUUUAAUUCGAUGAUACGCGAGGAACCUUACCUGGGCUACAAUGCCUCUGCUACCUGGUGAAAGCUGGGGUUCCUUCGGGACAGAGUGCAAGGUGCUGCAUGGUUGUCGUCAGCUCGUGUUG
rnacentral:rRNA from 1 species